UGGAAGUGGAACUGGAUCAUUUUGAGCAGUAGCUUACUUGUUUCAAGCAGUCUUCUAUUUCUUCUUCAUCGCUCAUUUUCUCAAACAACACUAAGAUGCUUGGUGGUGCUAAACCUGCUCGCCCAGCUGAUGCUGAGGUCCAAGGCGUUUGUGACAAGGUACGGCAGGAGGUUGAGCAGAAAGCCAACGGUGGAAAUGCGUAUGCUAUGUUUGUUGCUACCACUGUUAGCACACAGGUCGUCGCUGGUAUCAACUACUUUGUCAAGGUGCAGACGGGUGAAGGUGCGUACAUUCACGUUCGUGUUUACGAGGACCUCUCACAGACCUUCACUCUUUCGGCCUUCAAGACUGGCAUGACACUGGAUGAUCCCAUUGGUUAUUUUGAGUGAUAGUGUUCUUAGCACAGCCUCCACUGAUCCGGACUCAUUCAUGCACUACCUCAUUCAUGCACUACUUCACAUUUUUUUUUGCUUUUAAAGUAGUAUAUUGCCAACAGGAUCACUGAAGAAAACAAAAUAUUUCUUAUCUCAAUAGUAGCGCAACAGCAGUCUUUGCUCCAGUCUUCAACUGGACUCUUAGAUCAGUUUGAGUUGUCAGCCACUGUCAUGCUGGGGCUUAGACACCAUGCACUUGCUCAGUGGCUCUGCAAUUCUGCUUUCCCUCCAAAUAUGACAUACAUGAACGACCGAUUUACGUCUAAUUUCCGUAGUUCUACCGGUGUUACAGUUUAUCUUUCUCAAUCUGCAGCAGACUGCUCAAACUAUCACAGUCAUGUACUCAUUACUUUCUAUGUUGGAAAACUAUUUUCGAAAU